rnacentral:ncRNA from 2 species
UGAAUCCGCGCGGGAGAGUUCCCAGCAGUCUCGUCAGUCUCGCUGGGGCGCCGAAGGAGCAAGUCCCUCCCUUGAAUCUCUCAGGCCCCGUACCGCGCGGGCGAG